AAAACAAUUACUUUAUGGUUCUGUGUUUGGAUGGUCUGAUCUGAACACUUGGAAAUGUUGCUUGAGUUCAGAAAAGCUCACAACAUUCCCACGUGUUUGGAUCAGGCCAUCCAAACACAGAACCAUAAAGUA